GACGAACGCUGGCGGCGUGCUUAACACAUGCAAGUCGAACGGAAAGGCCCUGCUUUUGUGGGGUGCUCGAGUGGCGAACGGGUGAGUAAUACGUGAGUAACCUGCCCUAGACUUUGGGAUAACUUCAGGAAACUGGGGCUAAUACCGGAUAGGAGCUGAUGCUGCAUGGUGGGGGUUGGAAAGUUUCGGCGGUUGGGGAUGGACUCGCGGCUUAUCAGCUUGUUGGUGGGGUAGUGGCUUACCAAGGCAUUGACGGGUAGCCGGCCUGAGAGGGUGACCGGCCACAUUGGGACUGAGAUACGGACCAGACUCCUACGGUAGACAGCAGUGGGGAAUAUUGUACAGUGGGCGGAAGCCUGAUGCAGCAGCGCCGCGUGCGGGAUGACGGCCUUCUGGUUGUAAACCGCUUUCGCCUGUGACGAAGCGUGAGUGACGGUAAUGGGUAAAGAAGCACCGGCUAACUACGUG
rnacentral:rRNA from 1 species